rnacentral:lncRNA from 1 species
AAUAAUAUUGAGAAAAAGGGUAAAAGAGGAAGAGAAAAACUCAUGAUAUAUAACGGGAAAGCUACACUACAACAAAAAUAGUCUAUAGCAACACUUUUAAAUGUAGGUAUAUGUCAAAAAAGUGCUGCUAGCUAAAAUUACCGACACUUUUAAAAAGUGUUGCUAUAUGUGGGGUCGCUAGAUAUAUAGUGACAGUUAAAGAGUGUCGCUAUAACCUACAAAAGUGCUACUAAUUUAUCAACACUUAUUUAAGCAUUUAGCAACCGCCGAAACUCUAUCUCGUUGGCUGCCGUGGUGGAGAAGGAUGACAGUAAAGGCUCUUCGUCUAGAAUUUCAGUGAAUUGAGUGAAGAGAGAAGAAAAUAUGGUAAUUGAUUUUUCUUUUUUUUUUUUUCUUUUCUGUUUGUAAUCGGGCCAAAUGGACUGGGUGUGGUGGGUUGAGUAGAGUAAUCUUUUAUUUUUGGUUGGAUUGGACUUUAUAUUUAGCCAUUAGUAGAUGUGUUUUUAAGUUUUAGCAUAAAUGGGACACUUAUUCAAAAGUGUCCCAAACAUGUGUCCCUAUAACCUAAUUCUGUUGUAGUAAGCCGAAACAGU